CUAUUGGUCCCAUUGCAUGUAUUUGGACUGUGCCUGCUGUUUGUCCUCCGGUCCAGGGGGUGGAGCUGGAGAGCACCAGGCUGGUGAUCAGGUACCCAGACAGCUAGAUGCAGAGAACCCCUCCCUCUCCUCAGAGGACCAACCCUAUAGGCCUCAACACCUCCUCAGCCUCCAAGUACGCCUCCACAGGGACCAGGAGGAUGGCUCCCAUCAAUGGUGACGAGUGUUUCUUCUGGAGGACCACCGGCUGUUUCUAUGGUGACAAGUGUCGCUUCAAACACAAGCCUGACCAGAGAGG